UACGAAGGGGGCUAGCGUUGCUCGGAAUCACUGGGCGUAAAGCGCACGUAGGCGGAUUGUUAAGUCAGGGGUGAAAUCCUGGAGCUCAACUCCAGAACUGCCUUUGAUACUGGCGAUCUUGAGUCCGGGAGAGGUGAGUGGAACUGCGAGUGUAGAGGUGAAAUUCGUAGAUAUUCGCAAGAACACCAGUGGCGAAGGCGGAUCUCUGGGCCGGUACUGACGCUGAGGUGCGAAAGCGUGGGGAGCAAACAGG
rnacentral:rRNA from 1 species